CACAGGAGGCUUCCAGAUGCUGGCGGAGAAGCAGGAAUCAUUACAAUGGAGCAGAGCCCCACACAAAGACAUGGCAUGAUGUAAUGGACUGCUCUGAAGGGGAGCUCACUGUUCUUCAGAAGGAGAGCUGUUACAACAAGGAGAAUAGAUCUGCGGGGCUGAUCCAGGUGUGCUGGUUCUGUUGGGAGCCAGGAGAGAAACGAAGCAGGAGCUCCUGACACCCGCCGGCAGGCGAUGAAUUAGUGCAGCACAGCUGGAGCUGCUUGAGGGCUGCAGAUGCAAAUCCCAGAGCUGUUCCUGCAUGUACCGGAGACAGUGCGGCCAGUCUGGGGGUUCCCAUAUAUAAGAUAUGUCGAGGUGCUAGAGCGAAGCUGAGAAAAAAUGUAUCUUUGAAGAGGCAAAGUGGACAUGUCAUUGAUGUCUAUGGUUAUUAAGAGGGGGAUGUGCAGAAGGGAGAACCAGACUGUCCUUGGAGAUGCACGGCGACAGGACGAGAGGCAACAAGCACAAAUGGCAGCAUGGAAAUUCUCAAUAGAGAGUGAAAAAUGCCCACCAUGAGAAUGGUCAAAUGGCAGACUGGGAGCCCAGAAAGGCUGUGAGACUCCACUGUACGAGAUGCUCAAAACUCAGCCGGACAUAGCAGCCUGGUAAGAUGGGCCUGCAUGGACUGGAAGCCAUGCUUUUAAUUGCAGCUGGUGUGACCUCUGUGUGACACUGGGGUGACAUUAUCCAAGCCUCUUAAGCAGAAGCCCGGUCCCAUCCCAGUUAAAUCUGCCAGGUGAGUCCACUUACUUCUAAAUGAUGUUGGUCUCUAUCAGCAUUGCAGGAUGCAUCUUGCUGCCACUGUCCUCUCCUAGGGGCAGUUUCAAGCACAACCCUUUGAAACACGAAGCAGGAGUGGGAUGCUAGGUAUGGCUCCCUAGAGAAAAGCCACUCCCAAAGCCAGCAGGAUGCCACAGCUCUACAGAGGGAUUCUGCUCAUGGUGUCAUCACUUCCUAUGUGUGUCCCCUGUGGAUCCUGUUGUGACACAGAGGCAUCAGAUGAGCCCGUGUGUCUCCUGCACACUCAACACCUGAACACGUCAGAUGUGCACUUCUGGAAGGAGCAGUGAGAGAUGCCAUCACUCACAGUCUGUCAGUGGCCGCUGCCCAAUUCCAGGCUCCCAGCAGAGCCUGCACCCUACAAGAGGAGUGCUCAGCCCCUUCCCCAGCACUCAGGUUUCAGUGUAACUCAAUCCCAGGGCUCUCCAUACCUACCCUCUGUCUGCAGAGUCCUUUUGCAGGCUUGCUGACAUUUAUAUACCAUUCUAAAUAUCACUGAAGCAUUGCUGGGAGAGAGGAAAUGUGGAAUGAAUGACACAGACUUGCAAGCAGCAAAGGGAAGAAGGUGGUGCUGAGUUUGAUUGUAGUAACUGUGCCAACACCCCCAAGGAACACAGCCUCCUACAGACACCGUGCCUUUUCCAGGUGAUGAAAUGAACUUCUUUAGCUUUAACCCUAAGUAAACGAUGGCCCAGCUCAUAAAACAUCCUGGAGCGCAGAACUGUUUACAGACUUUUAUUUGUCUUGAGCUUCGUGCUUUGUAAGAUUGGAGGUGAUUUCAUUACCUGGCUUUGUGCAAUGUCAUUCUGGCAACUGGAUCAUAAGUGCCACAUGGAUGUUUACAGUCAUGGGGAAAUACAUUAUGGCCAGAAAGGACGGCUGCAGAUUAAUAGAAAUAUUCUUCUGGAAUACCCGAGGGCCAAUCCUGAGGAUCGAUCCUCUCUUGCUUCUUCUUAAUCUGAAUUCUACUUUGCUCUUAGCUGGAGCUGGAGAGAACCUCCCCUGCCCCUGGUGCUGCUUAGGGCAGGACCAAGCCGUCCCCUCCCUGUAAAGGGGCAUUGGAAUGGGGGAACAUUUAUUUCCCCCUGGAAUUAUUGCCCCUGCUUCAUGGUGGAUGGGAGCAGCAGUGAGGCACACCCAGCUUGGGUGUCACAUGAAACGGAGCUUGGUCAGCUUCCAGGAGUGGAAUUCAGCCUUUUCUUUUCCAAGAAAGGAUGCAAGCAAUUUGUCUUUAGAAUACUAUAAAGACGCCUCAAGAAUAUCAUAUAGUCUGCUAGUGCUGCAGAGAACCUCUUAAAAACUUAAUUGCCUGUGUCACCAAAUGAGGAGAGAGCAGUCCCUUGAAAGAUCCAGUGUUUUGAAAACAAGCAGUCAGUUCUAAAUACUUUCAAAUGGUACAUGCUUCUUUACUCCUGCUGACAAUAAGAGUAAUUGCUGAGCACAGGAUAAAGGAGAUUGUCUAAAAUGUUUUAUUUUCUUGUUGCAUCCUUUUUUUUUUUUUCCUACAAUGCAAAAAGACAGAGGCGUCCUUGGGCUGCAACCAGUCAGACAGAGAGGUUUCCAAGAGGCAGGUGAGAGGUAGAGAUCUCAACAGCAAAGUGACUCUCCUGGUUUGAGAGCACCUCCGCUCUCACCACUCGUGCUGUGAGUGCUGCCUGCAGGGAUGACAGAUCAGGACGUUUCCUCCCAUCAUUUACUCACUGCACUGCCUCACUAACAUCUCUAUUAAUUCUGGGAUACAGAAGACCUCGAGCAUCUCCGUUUGCUCACUCACCUCUGACUUUUACUGUGGCCAUAGUGUUCAGUGUGCGUGGUUCCAUCACCCGGCCUGCUCAGAGCUGAUGUCAGUGUCUGCCAUCACUCUGUUUGCCCAUUAAGGACUUGUUGGCUCCCUGCAUUUUCCUGUGUGGCCCACGGUGCAGCGUAGUGCACUGGAAAGCAAUAUCCAUUCUAACGUGAUGUGACAUGGGAAACCUCAGAGGAAGCACAGGCUUAUGCUGGCUGUGCUGCUGCACAGUCAAUAGUCCUCCUUUAUGCCUGCCAUUAAAGCAGGAGCAAACAGUUAUGAUCUAUGGCUUGACUUUUUAUCUAUUUAUCUUUUUAUCUUUUUACCUUUUGAUCUAUAGCUUCUUUUUAUUUAUGCAAUCACCACGUUUUGUUUUGGGUUGUUAUUUUUUGUUGUUGUUUUUCCUUGGUAAGCAAGUAGAUAUGCAAAGCACAGCAGAUGUCCCGAACUUGAAGAGCCAAGGGAACAUUUCUUCUUGGCCCUUAGAUGAAAUGGACUGGGCUGUGCUCCAGGAAAUAGGAAUGAUUAAUCCAUCAUUGAACAUGAACUUAAACGAGCUAAUAUUGGGCAUUUUAGUUCUGAUGUAUGCGCUAAGUGAAAGAAUCAUUCAGAGGAUAAAAGUAAUGGCUUUGGGACGGUGUUGUAAGACAGAGCGGCUCUGCAGGAGCAGGAGGGUGAGAGCAGCAGGGCUGAGUGCACGCUACUAUGCUUCCUGAGUGCAGGAAUGGGAACUGCUGCAUGACCCCAACAGUCUGCAGUGUGGGUUCAGUGCUGUGACACACACUGCCUGCUCCAGCCCCAGCUCGGUGGCUUUAGGCUUAGGAUGUGCUCCAGCUGCCAGGGUGAGUCCUUCCUUUCGUUAUCCGCUGUUCUAGUUGUGUCAUUAGCCACAAUUACACCCUUAAGCCAGAGACGGCAAUUGAUAUUUUAUCAUUGGGAUUUUUUUGCCGUGGCUUUUGUACCCAUCUGGAGUGAACAAACUAUUACAAGUUUCAUCCAAUUAUGCUAAGUGUGGUUGGACACACUGCGCCCAGCACAAUCUCUUUUCAAUGGAGAGAGGGGCAGUCCGUUAUCAGCUCGAGGCACCAUCAUUCAUUAAGACAUCAUUUGCCUCUCGCCAGCAGAGCCGAAGCAGCAAAUCUGUAGGAUGUCAUAUUAAGGUGUGAUAAUGAAAGAUAGGCAGAACGGGAUUAACAAAGGGGUCCUCUCCACAUUAUACCUUCCUCUGACUACUUUGCUCAGUCCCAGCCUUUUAUGAUCUCCUAAGGGAACAUUUCAAAGGGGUGCGUGGAAGUUGGGCCCGCAAAUCCAAUUAAUUGCAGAUGUGGUUUGUGCCUAGAAUCACCGCGCACCACUUCAAAAGCAGCUGCCUGAGUGCAGCAGGACGUUGAAUGGAAAAUAUUGGGCAUACAGUGCUGGAGAAGGGCUGAAGUGGUCACCAAAUCUAGCUCCAAAUCUGGCAGCAGGGAUGCUAUGAGGGGAAAAGUCCCUAUGUCUGUCCCUUCUUUCCUUCUUCCUGAGGAGCAGCCACUACCUGUGGCACUGGGGACUGGAAAUGCAGCUGGGAAUCAGCUAGCCCAAGAAAUCACCUGCACAAUCCUACACAAGCCAUCCCCUGGAGAGAAUGAACCUGGUGCCCAAACACACGGAGGGAACCUUAUUUCUAUCUAAUUUCUGCACUUAUAUGGCUUUUAUCCAAUUAUCAGACUUUUUACCAUCUAUAAUGUGUUUUUCUUCCCAGCAUACAGCCAAUUGCCCAGAAGGCAACUGCAUUGCCCGUGGAUGCAGUGAUAUGACCAAGUUCACCCAAAGUCUGUGUCAGAGAAAGGAGCUGAGCCCAGGGCUCAUGCAGCAGGGACCAACCAUCACAGCAUAGGGCCUGGAUGCACUUCAUGGAAAAGGAUAUAGUGGUUGAAAAAGGGCCCAGUGUAAAUCCUGCCCUGCCUCUGCCAGUGCUGAGAUCAGCAGGUGAGCACAGGGCAUCUUUCGUGUUCUCCCUUCCCAGGGCACCUGGGCAGCUUACUGGGAGCAGCACAGCUGGAGUAGAUGGGCAGUGGAUUCUCCAUUUGCCUUUGGAUUUCUGUUCUUAUGCUGGCACUGCUAUCAGUCCAUUCCCAGAAAUAAUAUUUUCCAAUGAUUUUUUUUUUCCCAUUUCCAGAGCAGGUCAGAAUGUUGUGGUAAGUGUUUCUGUUAUGAGCAGUAAGUGAAUUAGGGAGAGGACACAGGGCAUGGCCAGGGCACUUCCACCAGCCCACAGCAACCAGAAACUGCAGGGCUGUGUCCCUGGGGAGCACUGCAGGCUGCUGAGACUGAGCAGAUUUCAGCAGGCCCUGCGCACCAAGGCAGAUGCUUAAGUACACAGUCCCAUAAAGAAAUUCUUCUUAAAAAUCCCAAUCUUGAGCCAAGAAGCACAGGAGACGAUCCUGCUUCACACGCUGCUGAAAGAAACUCUUUGGCCAAAAUUGCUCUGGCUGUUUUUCUGCGCUCCAGUAAACCUGGCUGCUGUCUCCGUCCUGCAGAUGACUUCAUUUCGGUAGAUUUCUCAGCCCAGGCUCUCUCUGCCUCAAAAGCAAUUGUUUGUGCUGCAGUUGGAAAAUGUGUAUCAUCGCAGUCACCUUUUUUCCACUGCAGAGUAAUUAAUCAAUACUUCUCAUGGAGAGGAGUCAAUUCUCGUUAAGCUGGGGGCUUCGCAGUGUUGCCGUUUGGUUUUUCUUUUGCAGAAGAGCUGUGACAUACCCAAAAGCCACUUUGUGCUCACGCUGUGGGCUGUGCUUGGUUGGGGAUGCACCAGGGUGAGGGCAAAGUCCGCAUUGCAGGAAGCGUUUGGAAGUGCAGCGCUCAGCAUUGGUGCCAAGUGAAUGGAGGACACAUCUGAGCACUCAACGUGAAUAGGUGGGGAAAGGGAAGUGCAGCCCGGAGUGGCAAUGCAUGAGAACCAAACACUGUAACAAAACGGUGUGUUUGGUUCUUCCGCAGCCUCGCGAGUUCCUUCCUGGCUCCAUGUGAUUUACUGUACAAUGUAGUACUGGAAGUCAUUAUUAUUACAAAGAAUCACUAAUUCAAUAACACUGCUAUCCUGCUUGAAUAACACCCAUACAAUAUUAAUGCGUUUCCCCCAUCAUAUUCAUUGCAGAACACAAAAGCUGUUAAUAGAAUGCAAGAAGUCUUAAGGCAAGGAGGCCGCUAAUGCUGCAGCCGCUGCUACCCAUGCAUUGCUAACGCCGAGUGAGGCUCUGGCAAUUAUGAUUGCAAAGCACAUUUUUGGAUGCCAUUCAUAAAAAACAAAUGGCUAAAAGUUAAAACUUCAAAUAGAAGUAGCAGAGCUGCCUGGCGUUACACGAUAACAUGGCACUUUAUUAUCGCUCCUCAAUUGUUUGACGUUUAUGCCUCUGUUUAGCACGUCUGUUCGUUAUCGUUCUCCAAUUAACAGACUUUUUUCAGAUUAUUUUUAUGAAAUUCUCAUUUAAUUAGCAAUACAGCUGAGUCUCAAAUGGCAGUUUUAAAAAUAUCCUCCCACCGAUCAAGCAGCCAAAUGGUCUUUCUGAGAUACUCGCAGAGUUGUAAACCUUAGUUUGUCUGCUCGUUAUCCCCCAGCUUAGACGAUGGGAAAGCAGGCACCUAACAAUCAAGGGUUGUUGACCGGAUGCUUUCAUUUUGCCCAGUAUAGAAAAAUACAAAUUUCACCUAUGAAAACCUUCUUGUGGACUUUUCUCAAGGAAAGGAUGUGGUUUAUCGAGCGAUUUUCAGAUUCCACACAAUAGAUGGGGAAUUAAAAUAAUGAACGACAAAUAAUGGAAAGCAGGUGCAAUGGGAGACGUCAGGCAAGCAUUCCACAGGCACCGAGCAAAAUGGGAGGAAAUAUAUUUAUAAUACAAUAAUGAAGGCAAAACAAAACAAAAAAAACACCCACAAUAAAAUAAAAUCAAGAGCAAAAUUCAAGUGAAUGGGCUCUCUUGCUAGACAGCUGGAAACCAUUAUGGUAUUUAGCAAUGAACACACUAAUAAGCUUAAAACACACUUUUGCCAUACGUUGGUGGAUGUGUAGAGAUGGGUAGAAGUGGUGCAGUUGACACAGCGGAUGGAAGGGAUACCAUCCCAAGGGGACAGGACAAGAAGUGGGCCCAUGUGAAUCAAAUGAGGUUCAACAAGGCCAUCUGGAGUACUGCAUCCUGGCCUGGGGCACCCAGUACAAGAGAAACAUGGAGCUGUUGGAGUGGGUCUGGAGGAGGGCAUAAGGAUGCUCAGAAAGGCUGGAUGGGCUUUGGGUGUUCUUCCUGGAGUGAGGGCUCCAGGAAGACCUCACUGUGGACCUCCAGCACUUGUACACUACAGCUUAUACACAGGAAGGAGAGUGGAUUUUAUAUCGUCUAAUAGUGGUAGGAAACAGGAGAGUGGCCUUAAACUGAAAGAGGGAAAAUUUAGGUUAGAUGUUAGGAAGAAAUUCUUUAUUCAGAGGGUGCUGAGCUGUGGGACCACAUCCCAGGAGGAGCUAAGGGCCAUGGAUGGGCUCUGGGCAGCCUGAGCAGGUGGGGGGCAACCAGCCCACGGCAGGGGUUGGAAGUGGAUAAUCUUUAAGGUCCCUUCCAACCAAAGCCAUGAUUCUAUGUUUCAGGUUUUAAGUCUAAUUCCAGCAGAAGAUUUCUGCCUGUGCCAGAUGUGGUUUUCAGAUGCUGCACUGUGGCUUUGCUGCAUUCCUGGCCCACUGCAGCCAAGCAGACCCCUGGAGCCUUGCCAGAGAGGGAGAAGGAGUAAUGGGCCCUGGCUCCCUUGGUCUCAUCCAGAGCUGGACAUGUAUCCACGUUACAAAGGCACUGAUAUCUGGAUUCCCAUAGUGCUCAAACCAGAUGGUCUCCAAGAGCUGCUCAUCUCCUCUUGUAGGCUGGGC
ensembl:lncRNA